rnacentral:rRNA from 1 species
AUUGAACGCUGGCGGCAGGCCUAACACAUGCAAGUCGAGCGCGCGGCGGACGGGUGAGUAAUGUCUGGGAAACUGCCUGCUGGAGGGGGAUAACUACUGGAAACGGUAGCUAAUACCGCAUACCCUCAGAUGUGCCCAGAUGGGAAUGGCUAGUGGGUGGGGUAAUGGCUCACCUAGGCGACGAUCCCUAGCUGGUCUGAGAGGAUGACCAACCACAAUGGAACUGAGACACGGUCCAGACUCCUACGGGAGGCAGCAGUGGGGAAUAUGGCACAAGAGGCGCAGGCCUGAUGCAGCCAUGCCGCGUGUGUGAAGAAGGCCUUCGGGUUGUAAAGCACUUUCAGCGGGGAGGCGUUACCCGCAGAAGAAGCACCGGCUAACUCCGUGCCAGCAGCCGCGGUAAUAC